rnacentral:ncRNA from 1 species
AGUUUCCUUCGGGGCAGGGUGGAAGUCCCUACCGACGGUGAUGAGCUUACAAGCUCUUAGUCCGUGACCCGGAUGCUUUUAUCUAAAUUCAGCAGAAACCCUCACUUCCAUAAGUGGCGGUAUGAAUACGGUGGCUUUUCUGUUCAGUGGGUGUUCAAACGCCCGCUGAAUCCAGAUAAAGCCUCUGGCAGAUGUCAUGGAUUUUGAAAUGUGCGAGUACAUUUCAAAAUCCAGGCGCAAUCACGCCUAGGCGUGAUUGAUUAGCUAAAAAGCAGAAGGUGGAUUUGGUGAAACUCCAAAGCCGACAGUUAAAGUCUGGAUGAGAGAAGGAACAA